rnacentral:misc_RNA from 1 species
AAUUCUCAACCUUCUCUUGUUGAGUGGGUUUGGAUGUGGGGGUUUGCUGGCCUCUUAAGAGGUUUCAGCUCUCCUGAAAUGCAUUAGCAGAACAACCCUGUUCAUUGGUGUGAUAACUAUCUACGCUAUUGAAUGUGAAGGGCAGUUCGGCUUCCUAACAGUCCUUGGACAGCUCAUCAUUA